rnacentral:lncRNA from 1 species
ACCUACAAUGUAUAUCUUUUGAGAAUAAGUGGGAUUGUUUGGUUGUGUGCAGUUAUUCUUGCAUAAUAAGAUCAUUCUAAGUGUGUGAGAAUGUUGCGCAAUAAGAUCAUCCUAACUGUGUGAGAAUCCAAAUCCAUUAUUUGGAUUGCUGCAUCACCAUCAAAUUACUGUUCCAGGAAUUGCAGGAGGGGCUAUUAUUGCAAGUGGAGUUGUAUCAGCAUCGAGCAUAGUUUUUACUGCAGCAGUUGGAAUGACCAACUUUAUAUGAAAAAAUUAGCGUAUCUUCCUAAUCUUUU